rnacentral:pre_miRNA from 1 species
AAAAAGACAAAUCUUGGGUUUCUAUAUCCGUCUUAUAUGAAAGUUUUUUAUAAUUAGUAUUUUUAUUGUUGUUAAAUGAUAAAACAUGAUUAAUACUUUAUACGUGACUUGAAUUUUUUCAAAUAAGAUGGACGGUCAAACGUUGGACACGGAAACUCAGGGUUUGUCUUUUU